AGUGAACGCUGGCGGCGUGCCUAACACAUGCAAGUCGAACGAAGUGGCGCACGGGGGAGUAAUAUAUAGGUAAUAUGCCCCACACAGAGGAAAAACAGUUGGAAACGGCUGCUAAUACCUCAUAGGGUAGGAUGAGACUAUAUCGGAUUAGCUAGUUGGUAAGGUAAUGGCUUACCAAGGCUAUGACGCGUAACUGGUCUGAGAGGAUGAUCAGUAACCGUGGAACUGAGACACGGUCCAAACUCCUACGGGAGGCGGCAGUAAGGUAUAGUGCGCAAUGGGGGAAUCCCUGAAGCAGCAACGGCGCGUGGAGGAUGACACUUUUCGGAGAAUAAACUCCUGUUAUCAGGAACGCGGUACCUGCUGAAUAAGCACCGGCUAACUCCGUGCCAGCAGCCGCGGUAAUUC
rnacentral:rRNA from 1 species